CUUCUUGAUCUAAAUCCCCUUUUGGAAUCAUCUAAAGCUUUAGUGAGACAGAAUGACAAUUUGCUGCCCAUCCUGGUUUAAGGGAAUCAGACACCACCACAAAAAUCAAGUUUAUAGAAAGAAUUCUGCAUUACCAUAUGGAUUUGUUCAUGAUGCCUCAGUUUAUCAGGCAUGCCUCAGAGAAGACAUUUGCAUAAUUCAUUGCAAUGGAAGACCAUUCAUUCCCGUGAUGUUUUUGCUAUGUACACCUUUUUGUUUUCCAAUCAAUCUUUACAGAGAUGCACUCAUGACAGGUGUUAUAAACUAUAUACUAUCAUCAGACAAAUAAGAAGCACAUAUAAUGAAAUCAGAAGUGCAUAAUAGUAUGGCUGGUACAAAGUACACAGUCUGUGACAUUCAGAUAGUAUUUUAAUAAAGUUUGAUUUAGUUAUAUGCAAAAAUGCCCAGUAAUUCAACACCAUUUUGUUAAUCCAAAACCUACAGGAUCAAACUUCUACUGUAUAACAAUUGGUAAUUUUGUACUAAGCCAGAAUUUACAAUUUUAACUCAUUAACAAAAUGUAUAAUUGUUAAGCAAAUUAAAG